CACCGCCCGUCACAUCACGAAAGUCAGUUGCUCUUGAAGUCGCCAGGUCAACCGAAAGGAGACCAGCGCCGACGGAGUGGCUGGCGAUUGGGGUG
rnacentral:rRNA from 1 species